rnacentral:misc_RNA from 1 species
GAUGAAGAACGUAGCGAAAUGCGAUAAGUAAUGUGAAUUGCAGAAUUCAGUGAAUCAUCGAAUCUUUGAACGCAUCUUGCGCUCCUUGGUAUUCUGAGGAGCAUGCCUGUUUGAGUGUCAUUAAAUUCUCAACUACACUGACUUUGAAUUGGUGUGGCUUGGAUUUGGGGGGAAAAUUGUUGUGGGCUUUUUGUAUAGUCUGCUCCCCUGAAAUUGAUUAGCGGUACCUUUGUGGAACUGUCUACAGGUGUGAUAGUUAUCUACAUCUUAGACAUCUGCUGGAAUGCUGCUUUCUAAACCUUACUUGUAUUGACAAUCUUGACCUCAAAUCAGGUAGGACUACCCGCUGAACUUAAGCAUAUCAAUAAGCGGAGGA